UCCUCUCGUAGAGCUAGCCUUCUGA
rnacentral:piRNA from 1 species